UCAAUCCAUUUAAGUCUUAGCUUCUCUUUCUGCAAAGGAGAAGUUUGAAUUAGUCAAUCUUCCUUCCAGAUCCAUAACUCAGUUUGAUAAAUUACUUAGUAUCUUUUUCUACAGAGAAAAUGCUCAUACAUAAUAAUAAAUAUGUAAUCAUAAAAUUAUUUUCAUUAGUCUGUUUUAUAGAAUUCAAAUUAAUCACCACUGUUUACCCUUGUGCCUCUUGGUGAUCGGUGCUGUCUGUUACAGAUCGCUACUGAAGCAAUAGAAAACUUCCGAACCGUUGUUUCUUUGACUCAGGAGCAGAAGUUUGAACAUAUGUAUGCUCAGAGUUUGCAGGUACCAUACAGAAACUCUUUGAGGAAAGCACACAUCUUUGGAAUUACGUUUUCCUUCACCCAGGCAAUGAUGUAUUUUUCCUAUGCUGGAUGUUUCCGGUUUGGAGCCUACUUGGUGGCACAUAGACUCAUGAGCUUUGAGGAUGUUCUGUUAGUAUUUUCAGCUGUUGUCUUUGGUGCCAUGGCCGUGGGGCAAGUCAGUUCAUUUGCUCCUGACUAUGCCAAAGCCAAAAUAUCAGCAGCCCACAUCAUCAUGAUCAUUGAAAAAACCCCUUUGAUUGACAGCUACAGCACAGAAGGCCUAAAGCCG
rnacentral:sRNA from 1 species